AGGGCGCGGGACUGGCGCCCCCAGGAACCGGCUCCCCACCCCCACCCGGCCCCGCCGCAGCUGCUCCGCCCGCCCUUCACGCCCACGGGAGAAGAAUGAGGCACCAACAAGUCAGCUGUAAAAGAGAGGGAGCAGGGGACAACAGCUGGAAGGACCAUCUCCCCGAACAACUCCUCAGUCCUGUAUUUAUUAGAUACAAGAUAACAACCAACAAAGGAGAAGAACACUAUACAUUAGUCAAAGGUCUGUAAAAAACCAAAAAUACGUCAUUUAACUAAUGAAAGGGUAAAACAAGAAGGAAGAAAAGGGCCUGCUGCUGUGAAGGUACAAGAGUAACAGUCCAGCACAAGAACAAGACAGCCCUGGAGGGUGAGAAAAAAUGAGAUAGAAGCCCAAGAUGACAUCCAGAUGGCCCUGCUCCAGUUUUAGUUGGGAAGUAUGAAUUGCAGAAGCUCCUGGAUUUUGUGCGAGAGUGGAUUCCUGGACCCCAAGCCAAGGGCCAAUUGCCAGAGGCCAGGACCCAGCCCCUUCGGGGACCACACUGGAAUCUCCUCUGAUUAGAGCUACUGCCACAUUUCCCGCUUGCUGCUCCCAGAAGUGCUGUCUGCGGCUCUCCCCACCAGAGGCACCUUCACCGCCGCACCUGUCCUCCACC